rnacentral:rRNA from 1 species
UCCUACGGGGGGCAGCAGUGGGGAAUUUUCCGCAAUGGGCGAAAGCCUGACGGAGCAAUACCGCGUGCGGGAGGACGGCCUUUGGGUUGUAAACCGCUUUUGUCAGGGAAGAAGAUCUGACGGUACCUGACGAAUCAGCAUCGGCUAACUCCGUGCCAGCAGCCGCGGUAAUACGGAGGAUGCAAGCGUUAUCCGGAUUUAUUGGGCGUAAAGGGUCCGCAGGUGGUUCAUCAAGUCUGCUGUCAAAGCGCGGAGCUUAACUCCGUAAAGGCAGUGGAAACUGAUGAACUAGAGUUCGGUAGGGGUAGCGGGAAUUCCCAGUGUAGCGGUGAAAUGCGUAGAUAUUGGGAAGAACACCAGCGGCGAAAGCGCGCUACUGGACCGAGACUGACACUGAGGGACGAAAGCUAGGGGAGCGAAAGGGAUUAGAUACCCCGGU